rnacentral:misc_RNA from 1 species
GUUUUUUUGACUCAGUUGCUGAUCCUGCUUCUCUAUGGCUGCAGGGAAUCACUUGUUGAAUUAUAUAAGCCACUUCAAGACCCUCUUAUUAAGCGUUGUGUAGAGAUUGUAAAUUUCAGUGAAAAUGACCAUGCCAAAAGCAGUGUAUUAUCAAAGGCUAAAGGUAUUUGGUCUAAAGCUUUUCCGAAACCCAGAAGAUCUUGG